GACGAACGCUGGCGGCGUGCUUAACACAUGCAAGUCGAACGGAAAGGCCCUGCUUUUGUGGGGUGCUCGAGUGGCGAACGGGUGAGUAACACGUGAGUAACCUGCCCUUGACUUUGGGAUAACUUCAGGAAACUGGGGCUAAUACCGGAUAGGAGCUCCUGCUGCAUGGUGGGGGUUGGAAAGUUUCGGCGGUUGGGGAUGGACUCGCGGCUUAUCAGCUUGUUGGUGGGGUAGUGGCUUACCAAGGCUUUGACGGGUAGCCGGCCUGAGAGGGUGACCGGCCACAUUGGGACUGAGAUAAGGCCCAGACUCCUACGGGAGGCAGCAGUGGGGAAUAUUGCACAAUGGGCGGAAGCCGGAUGCAGCAACGCCGCGUGCGGGAUGACGGCCUUCGGGUUGUAAACCGCUUUCGCCUGUGACGAAGCGUGAGUGACGGUAAUGGGUAAAGAAGCACCGGCUAACUACGUG
rnacentral:rRNA from 1 species